rnacentral:lncRNA from 1 species
AGAAAGUCGAUGAUGAAUUGGUUGCAAAACGGGCUGAAUGUGUUCUGAAUAUGGAAUCAGAGUUUCAAAUUGAUGAUGACGAUUGUUUGAGGUUCAGAAGUCGGUUGUGUGUUCCAAGAAAUUCAAAACUCAUUUCGAUGAUUCUGAAUGAAGCUCAUUGUAGCCGAAUGUCAAUUCACCCGGGGAGUACGAAAAUGUACAACGAUCUGAG